rnacentral:rRNA from 1 species
UAGUACGAGAGGACCGGGAUGGACGUACCUCUGGUGUACCAGUUGUUCUGCCAAGGGCAUGGCUGGGUAGCUAUGUACGGAAUGGAUAAGCGCUGAAAGCAUCUAAGCGCGAAGCCAACUUCAAGAUAAGAUUUCCCACCGCAAGGGUAAGACCCCAGAAAGACUAUCUGGUUGAUAGGUCGAAGGUGUAAGUGCAGCAAUGUAUUUAGCUUAUCGAUACUAAUAGGUCGAGGACUUGACCAAU